rnacentral:rRNA from 1 species
GACGAGGGGUCCAAGCGUUGUCCGGAAUCAUUGGGCGUAAAGAGCGUGUAGGCGGCCAAUUAAGUCCUGCGUGAAAUCUCGGGGCUCAACCCCGAGCGGUCGUGGGAAACUGGGUGACUUGAGUUCGGGAGAGGGCAGUGGAAUUCCUGGUGUAGCGGUGAAAUGCGUAGAUAUCAGGAGGAACACCGAUGGCGAAGGCAGCUGCCUGGCCUAGAACUGACGCUGAGGUGCGAAAGCGUGGGGAGCGAACAGG